CCGGCCUUAGCUCAGUUGGCAGUAGCAUUAGACUGUAAUGAUUCAGCAAUCUAAGGGUCCCCAGUUCGAAUCUGGGAGGCCGGA
rnacentral:tRNA from 1 species